rnacentral:rRNA from 1 species
AUUGAACGCUGGCGGCAUGCCUUACACAUGCAAGUCGAACGGCAGCACGGGUGCUUGCACCUGGUGGCGAGUGGCGAACGGGUGAGUAAUACAUCGGAACAUGUCCUGUAGUGGGGGAUAGCCCGGCGAAAGCCGGAUUAAUACCGCAUGCGAUCUACGGAUGAAAGCGGGGGACCUUCGGGCCUCGCGCUAUAGGGUUGGCCGAUAGCUGAUUAGCUAGUUGGUGGGGUAAAGGCCUACCAAGGCGACGAUCAGUAGCUGGUCUGAGAGGACGACCAGCCACACUGGGACUGAGACACGGCCCAGACUCCUACGGGAGGCAGCAGUGGGGAAUUUUGGACAAUGGGCGAAAGCCUGAUCCAGCAAUGCCGCGUGUGUGAAGAAGGCCUUCGGGUUGUAAAGCACUUUUGUCCGGAAAGAAAUCCUUGGCUCUAAUACAGUCGGGGGAUGACGGUACCGGAAGAAUAAGCACCGGCUAACUACGUG